CAACCAUGGCUGGAGGAGUUUGGGUCGUGGUAGAGAAGGCCACUGGAUAAUGCUACAUCUGUUCACGGAGACAAGCGGGAACCGGAGGGCUUGAAGAUGCGGCCCAGUGUGGCCAGCUUGCUGUUCCGUCUGAUGGGGGGAGUGUGGACGCCGCUCACGAGGCAGCCUGUCCUUAGCACCCUCUGCUGGUCCAGCACAUCUGCUGAUCACAAGAAGUGUGCAAAGAAAUUCAAGACCGAAGAUGCUGAGUGAGCCACCACACCCCGCUGAAACAGCUCGUCAGCACCUUUGAGAGAAUUCGACCCUCUUGCGUGCAAGCAUCCAGACGGUGAGGCAAGCGACAGCAAUCUAUUUGACUGUUCAGAUCAAAACAAGCUGCCCUGGCCCCAGUCGAGCUGGCGUGGUGUCUGACCGAGAUGGAGUCAUUCAUUG